AUGUGCAGCAGACCUGAUGUUGUUGAGGUCUGGGAUGGUAAUGCCCCGGAUCCGAAGUUGCUUGUAUGUCUCAAGUCCCGCAGGAACACCGUGCCUGUUCCAAGACACUGGUGCCAGAAACGAAAGUACUUGCAGGGAAAGAGGGGUUUUCAAAAACAACCGUUCCAGCUUCCUGACUUCAUUGCUGCAACUGGAAUUGAAAAAAUAAGACAGGCAUACGUUCAGAAGAUGAACAACAAGACACUGAAACAGAAGCAGCACAACCGUAUGCAGCCCAAGAGGGGAUAUAUGGAUAUGGAUUAUGAGGUUUUGCAUGAUGCAUUCUUUAAAUAUCAAACAAAACCCACAUUGACUAGUUAUGGUGAUCUGUAUUAUGAAGGGAAAGAGUUUGAGCCGAAGCUUAAGGUAAUGAAACCAGGUAUGCUGUCCCAGGAGCUUAAAAAAGCUCUUGGUAUGCCUGAUGGUGCCCCGCCCCCAUGGCUUACCAGGAUGCAGUUCUUUGGUCCUCCACCCUCUUAUCCUUAUCUGAAGAUCCCAGGUUUUAAUGCCCCAAUCUCUCCUGGAGACAGUUUGGGUGAUGAACCUGAUGAGGAAGAACCUCUCAAUCGCACCAAACACUGGGGAGAUUUGGAUGAAGAAGAGGAUGAAGAGGAAGAAAAAGAGGAGGAACUAAUUAUUCAUGAGGAGAUAGAAGAAGGUGUUAGGUCUAUUGACACCGUCUCAAGUACUCUGGCUGGUGCGGAAGCACCUGAUGUUAUUGAGCUUCGGAAGCUGAGGAAGGAGUCAGAUAACCAGGCAGAAAGGCCAUUAUACCAGGUUCUUGAACAGAAAGAAGUAAGGAUCGCCCAUAGGGCGUUGUUCGCGUCAAGCCACGCAUAUGUUUCCCUGGCCAAACCUACCGAGUACGUGCUGCUUGGAGCGCAAGGUACACCGUCAUUAUCGGGCGGCAAUUUUGGUGAUGGACCUGGGGAGAUGGGAAAGCCGUCAAUUGACGAGGGAGAACCUAUUGAUCACAGCAAACACUGGGAAGAACUGGACGAAGAAGAAGAGGAAGAGGAGGAAUUGGAAGAUGGGAAAAUAGAAAAAGGCAUUCUAGAAGAGGAAGAGGUACUGGAAGAUGGGGGAAUAGAAGAAGACAUUCUUAAAGAGGAAGAGGAGGAGGAGGACCUGAAAGACGGGGAAGUAGAAGAACGCACUCUGGAAGAGUUGGAGGAGGAACUGGAGGAUGGGGAAAUAGUACAAAGUAUUCGGCAGGAGGAGGAGGAAGAGCUGGAAGAUGGGGAAAUAGUACAAGGUAUUCGGCAAGAGGAGGAGGAAGAGCUGGAAGAUGGGGAAAUAGUGGAAGGCAUUCGGCAAGAGGUAGAAGAGGAGCUGGAAGAUGGGGAAAUUGUGGAAGGCAUUCGGCAAGAGGAAGAAGAGGAGGGGGAACUGGAAGAGGGGGGAAUAGUAGAAGGCAUUCGAAAAGAGGAAAAGGAGGAGGACGAACUGGAGGAGGGGGAAAUAGUAGAAGGCAUCCGGUCUGGCCACACCAUCUCAAGCAGUACUCCAGCUGGUGUGGAAACGCCGGAUGUUAUCGACCUUCGGAAGUCGUGGAGGAAGGAGUGUGAGAGGCGGGCAGAAAGGCCAUUAUUAUACCAGGUUCUUGAACAGAAGGAAGAAAGAGUUGCCUCUGCCAGUGCGCUGUACUUGUCGAGCCACAGGUACGUGGUGGUGGGAGCGCAAGAUAAACCGUCAACAUCAUCAUCAUCAUCAUCAUCAUCAGGCCCUAAAAGUAAAAGGAAGCAGAAGCUGGAGAGGGUGGACGUCACGAUCCACCCUGACCAGCUCGACGCCGUAGAGGACGCCCUGGCCGCCAAGUACAGGGAGCUUUGGGGGGAGGAGAGCAAGGGCAAUGGCAAGGGGAAGAUGGGGAGGAAGCUGGUGGGCGGGGAAGGCAGCAGCUGGGUGUCGCCGCCGUCCUGGAAGACGGCGACAAAACGGAAGAAGGUGGACUUCAAGUUUUAG
rnacentral:rRNA from 1 species